ACCCCUUUUACUUUUUUUUUUUUUUUUUUUUUUUUUUAGGUUGGCUCCAUGCCCAGUGUGGGGCUUGAACUCACGACCCGGGGAUCAAGAGUCACACGCUCUUCCAACUGGGCCACCCAGACCCCCUAGGCAUGUGUGUCUUAAGCAAGUGUUCUCGUGCUUCUGAAGCAGGUUUUCCAUCGGGUCCUUGUGGCUGGCCUCCUGAACCCCAGCGGAGAGAAGCCUGUCCGGCAGGCACCCGUGCGCACUCACCUUACCAGCAGACAGCUGAAGUGUGGAAAGUGGUAAGUGAUUAGCCGAGGGCACACAACUGGUCAUAGUAGAAUCCCAGAUGGAGAGUACGUUUUCUCGGUCCAAGCUCUGAACCCUUCCCAUGGUGACAGUCAUACGCUCUGCUUGUUCACCAUCAACUAUUAACAAGUGGAACCUGUGACCAGACUUUGAGCAGAUUUUCUUUUCUAUCCAGUUUGAGCCUGUUUUUAAUGACAGAGAACCAAUUCAAACCGAGAAUUUGGACCACUUCAUGCUGACGUAACCUUGGCUUCCUGAAGCAGUAGGUUAAUAGCUUGACCUAUGUUACAAAUAACUUGCUAGUCUUUAAAAAAUAAAAAGAUUUAUCCACUUACUUUAGAGGGAGAC
rnacentral:lncRNA from 1 species